AUUACUUUGGCAGAUUAGUGCAAUAAAUUUAGAAUUUAUUAAUGUAUUUAAUAUAUACAGGUAAUA
rnacentral:tRNA from 1 species